GUGCUUGCUUCAGCAGCACAUAUACUAAAAAAUUGGAACAAUGCAGAGAUUAGCAUGGCCCCUGUGCAAGGAUGACACACAAAUUUGUGAAGCAUUCCAUAUUUCU
ensembl:snRNA U6 U6 spliceosomal RNA